rnacentral:lncRNA from 1 species
AUGUAUAUAUUGCCAUGUAUAUAUCGCCAUGCAUAUAUUGCCAUGUAUAUAUCGCCAUGCAUAUAUUGCCAUUUAUAUAUCGCCAUGUAUAUAUUGCUCUGUAUAUAUUGCCAUGUAUGUAACGCCAUGUAUAUAUCGCCAUGUAUAUAUUGCUCUGUAUAUAUUGCCAUGUAUAUAUUGCUCUGUAUAUAUCGCCAUGUAUAUAUCGCCAUGUAUAUAUCGCCAUUUAUAUAUUGCUCUGUAUAUAUUGCCAUGUAUAUAUCGCCAUGUAUAUAUUGCCAUGUAUAUAUCGCCAUGCAUAUAUUGCCAUUUAUAUAUUGCUCUGUAUAUAUUGCCAUGUAUAUAUCGCCAUGUAUAUAUUGCCAUGUAUAUAUCGCCAUGUAUAUAUUGCUCUGUAUAUAUUGCCAUGUAUAUAUUGCCUUGCAUAUAUCGCCAUGUAUAUAUUGCUAUGUAUAUAUUGCCAUUUAUAUAUCGCCAUGCAUAUAUCGCCAUGUAUAUAUCGGCAUGUAUAUAUCGCCAUGUAUAUAUUGCUCUGUAUAUAUUGCCAUGUAUAUAUGGCCAUGUAUAUAUGGCCAUGUAUAUAUUGCCAUUUAUAUAUUGCUCUGUAUAUAUGGCCAUGUAUAUAUGGCCAUGUAUAUAUGGCCAUGUAUAUAUCGCCAUGUAUAUAUCGCCAUGCAUAUAUUGCUAUGUAUAUAUCGCCAUGCAUAUAUUGCCAUGUAUAUAUUGCUAUGUAUAUAUUGCCAUGUAUAUAUUGCCAUGUAUAUAUUGCCAUGCAUAUAUCGCCAUGUAUAUAUCGCCAUGCAUAUAUUGCCAUGUAUAUAUUGCUCUGUAUAUAUUGCUAUGUAUAUAUCGCCAUGUAUAUAUUGCCAUGUAUAUAUCGCCAUGUAUAUAUUGCCAUGUAUAUAUCGCCAUGUAUAUAUUGCCAUGUAUAUAUUGCUCUGUAUAUAUUGCUAUGUAUAUAUUGCCAUGUAUAUAUCGCCAUGUAUAUAUUGCUAUGUAUAUAUCGCCAUGUAUAUAUCGCCAUGUAUAUAUCGCCAUGUAUAUAUUGCUAUGUAUAUAUCGCCAUGUAUAUAUCGCCAUGUAUAUAUCGCCAUGUAUAUAUUGCUAUGUAUAUAUCGCCAUGUAUAUAUCGCCAUGUAUAUAUCGCCAUGUAUAUAUUGCCAUGUAUAUAUUGCUAUGUAUAUAUCGCCAUGUAUAUAUUGCUCUGUAUAUAUUGCUCUGUAUAUAUUGCUCUGUAUAUAUUGCUCUGUAUAUAUUGAUAUGUAUAUAUUGAUAUGUAUAUAUUGCUAUGUCUAG